rnacentral:rRNA from 1 species
AUUGAACGCUGGCGGCAUGCCUUACACAUGCAAGUCGAACGGCAGCACGGGAGCAAUCCUGGUGGCGAGUGGCGAACGGGUGAGUAAUAUAUCGGAACGUGCCCGGUCGUGGGGGAUAACGUAGCGAAAGCUACGCUAAUACCGCAUACGAUCUACGGAUGAAAGCGGGGGAUCGCAAGACCUCGCGCGAUUGGAGCGGCCGAUAUCAGAUUAGGUAGUUGGUGAGGUAAAGGCUCACCAAGCCGACGAUCUGUAGCUGGUCUGAGAGGACGACCAGCCACACUGGGACUGAGACACGGACCCAGACUCCUACGGGAGGCAGCAGUGGGGAAUUUUGGACAAUGGGCGCAAGCCUGAUCCAGCAAUGCCGCGUGCAGGAUGAAGGCCUCGGUUGUAACUAGCUUUGUUACGG